rnacentral:rRNA from 1 species
CGGAGGGGCUAGCGUUAUUCGGAAUUACUGGGGCGUAAAGCGCACGUAGGCGGAUUGACAAGUCAGAGGUGAAAUCCCGGGGCUCAACCCCGGAACGGCCUUUGAAACUGUUUGUCUUGAGGUCGAGAGAGGUGAGUGGAAUUCCGAGUGUAGAGGUGAAAUUCGUAGAUAUUCGGAGGAACACCAGUGGCGAAGGCGGCUCACUGGCUCGAUACUGACGCUGAGGUGCGAAAAGCGUGGGGGAGCAAACAGGAUU